rnacentral:rRNA from 1 species
UCGGGAAUUUUGGGCAAUGGGCGAAAGCCUGACCCAGCAACGCCGCGUGAAGGAUGAAGUAUUUCGAUAUGUAAACUUCGUAAGAAUAGGAAGAAUAAAUGACGGUACUAUUUGUAAGGUCCGGCUAACUACGUGCCAGCAGCCGCGGUAAUACGUAGGGACCAAGCGUUGUUCGGAUUUACUGGGCGUAAAGGGCGCGUAGGCGGUGUGUCAAGUCAGUUGUGAAAUCUCCGAGCUUAACUCGGAACGGUCAACUGAUACUGUCACACUAGAGUGCAGAAGGGGCAAUCGGAAUUCUUGGUGUAGCGGUGAAAUGCGUAGAUAUCAAGAGGAACACCUGAGGUGAAGACGGGUUGCUGGGCUGACACUGACGCUGAGGCGCGAAAGCCAGGGGAGCAAACGGGAUUAGAUACCCCCGUAGUCCCUGAGCGGGCUGGCAAGGCGCAU